UACGUAGGUGGCAAGCGUUGUCCGGAUUUACUGGGCGUAAAGAGCGCGCAGGCGGUCGAUCAAGUCGCGUGUGAAAGCCCCCGGCUCAACUGGGGAGGGUCACGCGAUACUGAUCGACUCGAAGGCAGGAGAGGGUAGUGGAAUUCCCGGUGUAGUGGUGAAAUGCGUAGAUAUUGGGAGGAACACCAGUGGCGAAGGCGGCUCACUGGACCGGAACUGACGCUGAGGCGCGAAAGCGUGGGGAGCAAACAGG
rnacentral:rRNA from 1 species